rnacentral:lncRNA from 1 species
ACUGGCACUGACCAGAUAAAGAAAGUAGAGAUUGACACCAAAUGCUUCAGUGUACUAUAAAAAAGAGUUAUAAAGAAAUGGAUGCUGAAUUAUUUAUUACUAGGGAUUAUAACACUGGAAUGAGGGGUGAACUACAAGAAUAAGCUGUAGGAAAGAAACAGAACACGUUACUGCAGUGUGGGUAUUCUGUUUCUUAAUUGGAUGCUCAGUACAUUAGAAGGCAUAUUUGAAAUCGCAAGGACCUCAAGCUUCAGUUGCCCCCUGUCUGGGUAAAAUACACACACACAAUUGUGGAAGAAUAAAUGUCACUUUAUCUAAUUUAACAUAUUGUAUUAUUUGGGUGAGGAUAGCUUGUCACAAGCAGGGGUAAGAAAGAAGAAUGAGUAAGGAGAUUUUCAAAAGAUGCUAUUGAUAUGAUAUCCUUGUGAACAUACCUGUUUCAGACUCUUCUGGAGAUGGUGCAAAGAAGCAGAAUGCAGUAGAUCAGAAGUUCUCAAAUUUUAGGGCGUGGAGUCAUCCGAAAUGCUUAUGAAAACAUAGAUUGCUGGCCCCACCCAAGAAUUUUUGAUCCCAAAUUUUAAAAUUCAGAUUUUUCUGAAUUUUCUGAGCUUUUGUCCUAGAGAAAAGUUUGAUCGCUUCUAGCUGCCAGGCUCUGCAGGAUGUUGCUCUCUCUCUCCAGACCUAGGACCGUUCCUCUGCUUUCCCCACAAGGGCCUGUGAACGGAUGAGCUGGCACCCUGGGGAGCCGGCAAAGGGGCAGAGGCUGAGCAACGGGGAGAGGUUCAUGGAGAAGGAACUGCUGGCUGCCUGCUCAGGAUGAACUUUCUACAGAGAAAUACGUCAUGGGGCCUAAGAGACCUGUGGCCGUGGUAUUUGGUAGACCGGCCUGGCUUGACCCAAAACACAAAAUGCGCAUCACUGAGGCUCCAUGUGUGGGAAUAUUUGGACUUUGUGGCCAUUGGAAUGGGUGACCAAAUCUAGCCUUCUCAGGGUUCUGCAGGUGAAGCAGAACUCUUACUCAUCUUCUGCCCAUCACGUAUCCUGUGAGACAACAUUCAACUUCUAAUGCCAUCCACGAGGUCAGACUUGCA